rnacentral:lncRNA from 1 species
AGCGAACUACCUUGGAGUCUCUAGACUGAAGGAUCACUACCGAACUAUAGCUGCGGUCCGUAGGCUGUGUCCUGAUCUAUGCACAAAAAGGCACAAAAGCGUAGUAUCAACACAACUGACCCCAUGUGCUGGUAAGUGCCCGGCCUAACCUUGGAGAGCAAGUGACAAGGCUAAACCGGACCUACCACAACCAACCUGUAUAAAUAUAUGCAAUAACAAAAAGAACAAGAAUUUAAACUAAUAAAGGGAAAGAGGACAUGAUGGGGGAGUAGCAGUUCAAUUAUAACUUCUACAAUCAAGAGAUGGAACUGGAUAAAUAACAAUUAAAUAACAAAGCUAAUGAAUCAACAACUGCACGGCAUCACCCUUCGUGCUUUUACCCUCAUUCCUCACCCAAUAUGAUCAAAUAUAAUGCACGACAUUACCCUUCGUGCUUUUACUCUCAAUUCUCACCAAGAAUAUCAAAUACAAGGCACGGCAUCACCCUUCUUGCUUGUACUCUCUAUGAACAGUGCACGGCAUCACUCUUCGUGCUUUUACUCUCAAUAAACGGUGCAUGGCAUUAACAUUCGUGCUUUUACUCUCUCUUCAUAUCUCAAUCAAUGGUCACAACCAAACGGUAAAAAAGAAAUAUAUAUAUUGAAGUGGCGNNNNNNNNNNNNNNNNNNNNNNNNNNNNNNNNNNNNNNNNNNNNNNNNNNNNNNNNNNNNNNNNNNNNNNNNNNNNNNNNNNNNNNNNNNNNNNNNNNAGAAAUAUAUAUAUAUAUAUAUAUAUAUAUAUAUAUAUAUAUAUCAAGACAAAAUAUCUCGGCAAGCGAGAAUAUUUCAACAAUAAAUACCGGCAAGGGAAGUAUAACUCAAUAAUAGGUCCCGGCGAGGGGAUACAACUCAACAAAUGGUCCCGGCAAGGGAAUACAACUCAACAAAUGGUCCAAGCAAGGGAAAAGUACCAAAAAUUCCUCUUUAGUUCAUUUAAUUCUCAACUUUCACUUUAUAGUUCAUGUAACAAGUAAUUAUCCCAAUUGUUCAUUUACUUCGCAAUUUUGAAUAGAAAAUAUGACAUCACAGUCAUGCUUGACUCAGGCGCAUAGUGUCACCAUACCUAUACACCGACCCCACAUAGCACAUAAGAAAUAACAAUCUAAUCCUAUUCCCUCAAGCCAAAGUUAGAUCUAACACUAACCUCGAAUCCGAAAAUAGCAACUCAAAGCUCAACAAUCUCCUUUCCUCUAGAAUUUGACCUCGAACCAACGAUAUCUAACAUAAAUUGAUUCAAUAUUAUCAAUAAUAGUACAAAGAUACAAUUUCCUAGCUUAGAAAUUCAUUUCUAAUUUUUCUUCGAAAAAUAUCAACAUCUGACACCGGGCCCACAUGGUCCAAACUUGAGGCUCGGACCAAAUUCCUAUUACCCAUAACCCCACGAGUCCAAAUAUAUGAUUUGUUUGAAGAUUCAACCCCAAAUUGAGGUUGAAUCGCCCAAAAUUCUCAAAAACCUAACUCUACCCAGAAGCCCUAAUUUCUACCAUGAUUCUAUGAUUUAGGGCAAGAAAAUUGAUGUUUUAAUGAAGGAAACAAGAAGAAAUGAAGUUAAGAUUACUUACCCAAUGAACUACGAAGAAAUGGGAGCUUGAAUUUUGUCCAAUGGAGGAUUCCUGGAAGAGCUCGUGUGAGAAUAUGGGAAUAAAUCCCGUCACUGGUCUAUUUUUCGGCUUUAAAAAUCACUGGGCGAAAUCACCCUUCGCGUUGAAGGAAGCUUGGAAGCUACGCGAUCGUGUAAAGGAAAAGUCACUGAGAGGUCAGUUGGUCUAGGCGAUCGCAUGGACUAGUAUGCGAACAGGGAGAAGAGGAAGUUGGAAGCUACGCGAUCGCGUGAACAACGAUGCGAUCGCGUAGAGGUAAGAGUCAAAGCAGUGCGAUCGCAUGGCAGAGGCCGCGAUCGCGUAGAACAAAAUCACCGGGCAACAGUUGCAGAAAAUCUGCUAUGUCCAAAGAGCCAAAAUCACCCCGAACUACCCCCGAAAACACUCUCGAGCCCUCGGGGCUCCCAACUAACCACACACACUAACUCAAAAUCAUCCUACGAACUUGAUCGAGCGAUCAAAUCGCCAAAAUAACAUCAAAAACAAAGAAUCAACCUCCAAAACUCAUGAUUUUCAUUUUAAAGUUCAAAACUUUCAAAUUUUCGAUUUUAGUCUAAAACAUGUCAAAUGAGGCCUAUUUUCAACCAAACUUUACAGAUAGCGCUUAACGCUCAUUUAUGACUUUUAUCGGCGUCGGAACCAAAACACGAGCUCACGUCAAACGACGUCCGUUUUCAACUAAACUUUAUAGAUAGCGCUUAACGCCCAUUAAAGACUUGUACCGGGCAUCGGAACCAAAAUACUAGCCCGAUACCACUAGUUUUUAUCAAUUUUCGUAUUCAUUUUUCCUUAAGCGGUGGUUGUUUUUCCUUGGCUUAUCGAACCAGCGUAUGCCCAAUAUUCAUAAAAUAAUUUCACAGAAAAGCUCCGUACUCGGGCCUAGGACCUGGGAUUUUGAUUCCAGAAAUACGCCCGCGUCCCAAAUUUCCUUAUGAACCCUCCGGGACUGUCACAUCACGGGUUUGGGUCCGUUCACCCAACACGUUGACCAAAGUAAACUAUAGCAAUAUUAGUAUCAAAAUUCAUAGCUUUUAACACAGAAUUCAAAUAUUUUCACAUAAAAAUUUUCCGGCUUCGCGCCUGGAUUGCACAUGCAAAUCGAGGCAACCAAAUAAGAGGUUUUUAAGGCCUUAGAAUUUUUGGCCUUGCGCUCGAACUGCGCACGCAAAUCGAGGUAACCCGAUAAAAGGUUUUAAGGCCUCAGAAGUGCAAGGAGAGAGAGAAUUACGGUGAUAAUCCUUUGGGUCGUCACAAUGAAAUUUGUUAUUAAUAUGUAGGUAAAUGAUCCAAAUAAUUGUGUAAAUCCCCGUCUGCUCUCUUGUUCAUAUAUUGGUUUUUAGAUUUGAUUUCCCGUAUGCUCUAGUAUAGACAUUUUUUGAAAGAUAUAUCUUGAGGACCUGGGGUUGAGGUCACAAUAUAUUCCAAAUAUGUUGUGAAUCGUUAUAAGUUUCAUACAAAAGGUUGCUCUAAAAAUAAAAAAAAGCAACAACAGUGGGGUGAGUUCAAGGUGGUGAUGGCAACCAAGUUGGAUAUAUUGAUUAUUAUGGUGUUCUCAAAGAAAUAAUAAAACUAGAAUAUUUAGGUAGACCAUUUAAGACAAUUAUUCUCUUUAGAUGCAAGUGGUUUGACCCAAAUCCAACAUGAGGUACGAGAGUACACAAUCAAUACAACAUAAUUGAGGUUAAUCAUAUGAGGAAGUAUGAUCGCUACGAUCCUUUCAUAAUUGCACAUAAUGUUAGGCAAAUGUAUUAUGCUCCUUAUCCAUUUCGACGGAAUAAGACCGAUUGGUGGGUUGUAAUCAAAGCUAAGCAUGUAGGUAGGGUCGAAGUCGAGAAUGUGUUGGAUGUUUCAUAUCAAAACGAUAUCUCCAGUGUUCACCAAAUAGUGGAUUAACUUUUAUAAAAUGAUUUGGAACAUCCUGAACACAUAUUGGAAGAAGUUGAUAUAAAUUAAGUAAGAAUUAUAGAAAACGAGGAAGAAGAAUCAACUGAUGAAGCUCAAACUAGCGAGGAAGAAUAAUUCUCUGACGAGGAAGAAGAAUUCUCCGACGAGGAAGAAUACGUCGAUGAGCUUUAAAAAGUUGGUUUCUUUGAUAACUCUCAUUUAUACAUAGUUUUAUUAUAUGUUUCAAUCUAAAUUAUGUAUUAUAUUAUGCAUAUGACAUACUUAGUGAGGAAUAAGAAUUCUCUCACGAGGAAGAAUACGUCGAUGAGCUUUAAAAAGUUGGUUUCAUCGAUAACUCUCGUUUAUAGAUAGUUUCCUUAUAUGUUUCAAACUAAAUAUGUAUUAUAUUAUGUAGAUGACAGGCAAGGGUCGAGGUAACAAUGAAGGUAGUGGUUCUCAGGGUCGAGAAAAGGCUAGGAAGCAAAUGAGGAGGGUAGAAGAUACUACUUAUCAAUCAUUUCCACCCUGUUCUGAUUUGCCUAUCACUAUGCCACAACCUCUACCCCAUGGCUAUACCGAGCCGGCACAGCAUCACCAGCCCUACACCUUCGUGCAGACCCCGGGUGUUUUUUCACAGGGCCAUCGGACUGUGCGUCCGACAUAUAGUCCACCUGCCUCACUACCACGUGGAUCCCACCCAGCAGCAUCACGUGGAUCGCAUCGAUCCAUGUCACGGACACAUGAAUCACAUCCAUCAGUGUCAUAGCCAGACGGGUCACAGUAGUCAGUAUCACAACCCCUGUGAUCCGUGUAGUUGUGUCGCAGUCAAAGGGAUCACAUCUAUCGUCAUGAGUGACUCCACCUAUUGGAAGACUUCACUUGAGGGAUAGUAGCUAUGACCCCCUACUCCUUCCACACAUGCCUUUGAUACACAUGUUUCGGACGGUGAUGCUGAUGCCAAUGCUGCUGCUACUGCUGAUGAGGAGGUGCAUUAUGAUCAGUAUGACAGGAUCAUCAUAGUCCUUGAGGGUGAUGGGUAAUAUUAAUUCAGUUUUUACUAAGAUAUUAAUUUGUUUUAUUUAUUAAAUUGCAGGCUCCUCCCGAGUAAUAUUACUACGAGGAUAAUCACCAAAGCAACCAGAAGGCUUUAUGAUGCUCCUUAUGCAUCUUGGCGUGAAUUCCUAUUCUCACUGAAGGAGGCAAUUGUCAAUGAAUUUAAGGUAUAAAUAUUCUUUUAAGCAGUAUAAAUAUUUAUAUUUAUGAUAUUUUCAUAUAAUAUAUAACUUUUGAAAUACAGAGCAAGUGUGUAUGGGAACACCAGUAUAGCACAGGCGUGGCUGCAAAUUUUAAUCUCAAAGCUCACAAGCAGUUGUUGCAUUCUUUCUCCAUAGCUAGACAGCUGAACCAGAAGCCUGGCUGGUUGCUAGGAGUUUUGGGAUGAUUUGCAAAGGCAAUGGCUUACUGUAGAGUUCUUACAGAAGAGUGAAAAGGGAAAGAAAGCUCGGGCAUUUGAGAAGGUAGGAUCCUUGCACACUUGAGGUGGGGUCAACCAGGGGACAAUAAAAAGAAGAAUGGUACGUAAUUUCUUAAUAUAUUUUAAUUUUCAAAGUAUAUCUAUUCUAUUUAUUAAUUAUAAUUUAUGAGUUUCAGGAAAUGAACUUGGGUCGUCCGAUGAACCAAGAUGAGCUAUUCAAUGAGACUCAUAUUGUGAAAAAGAAAGAGACGGAUGAUAAAAGGUGGGUUGAGGGACGUGCCUCGAAUGUAUAGUGAGUCGAGCGAACCAUUCCAACUUUCAACCGAGGAUAUUGGAAGACUCUGGACGAGAAAGAAGUUGGAUCGUCCGAUGAACCAAGAUGAACUAUCCAAGGAGAGUCAUAUUGUGAAGAAGAAGAAAGAGACAGAUGAAGAAAGAUGGGUCAAGGGACGUGCCUCAACUGUACAUGUAAGUUUUCACUUUUCAUUAAGUAUUUUCAUUUACUUUUGUAUAAAUUUUGAAAUACUAAUUCAAUUUACUUUUUCUUAUAGGAUCGCUUCAGAGUUGAAGCUGAUGAAUUCAUACGUAGCCAACCACCUAAUGAGUCGGGCGCACCAUUCCAACUUUUGGCCGAGGAUGUUGAGUUGAAGCUGAGGAAUUCAUACGCAGCCAGCCACCUAAUGAGUCGGGCAAGCCAUUCAAACUUUCGGCCGAGGAUAUUGAAAGACUAUGGACGCGGGGUGCAGGCGGUCCAAAAUGGGGGAAGGUAUACUGUGUUCCCACUAAGACAUUCCAUCGCUAUAGAUGUGGAAUGCAAGGAAUAGGGACUUCCUCACAAGCCGAGCAACUUGAUGGGGGGAGCCUCUCCGAUAUGCGGGAGACUGUGUCAAAGCUCACAUCCGAGCUAGUAGCGUCCAAGAAAAGAGAAAGGCUUUGAGAUGCUCAGUAUAUUGGCGUGGUCGCUCAGUGCCAAGACAUGCAAGAGCAGAUCAAAAAUCUCCUAGACGGAUCUUUUUCGAUUCUCCAGUCUCGGCCAUCAUCUUCAGAGGCUGCCCGUCCCCGUGCUCGUUUGUCCUGUCAUUCAAGUGGCCAUUCAACCCGUCCUCCCCGUAAUCAUUCUUCCCAUAAUCAACUAGUAGACCCUUCUCAAUACCAUGAUGAUGAAGAAACUUUAUCAGACUGUGAUGAUAUUGAUGUACCAAAUAAUGAAUGAAUUUUAGACACUUUAAACUAGACAAAUACAAUUUGUUUUCCAUUGGGUUGUAAUAAGAGUUAACUGUGUUUGGUAAUUCUAUUGAAAUUUACACUUUCUUGGUUUUAAUGUAGCUUUUAAUGUUGUUUUUGUGUUGUUGUUAUUGUUGCUGUUGUUGUUGUUGGGUUGUUAUUUGGUAUUGUUAUUGGAACUGUUGUUGUUGCUUGUUAGAGUUUUUGUAUGACUAUCAGGUGGUGUAGCUGUCGAAACAGGGGUUGUUGUUUGGCAUUAUUAUUGAAAUUGUUGUUUGAAUUGUUGUUGUUGCUUGUUAGGGUUUUGGUAUGACUGGUAGGUGGUGUAGCUGCCAAAACAAGCAGUUUCUGCCAAAAUAAUACACAGAAAAGCGACCAAAGUUGGUUUCUAUUUGGUCGUUUUUCAAGUUACAACAACAACAACAACAACAACCUAGUAUAAUCCCACUUAGUGGGGUCUGGGGAAGGUAGUGUGUACGCAGACCUUAGCCCUACCCUUGGGUAGAGAGGCUGUUUCCAAAAUAGACCCCCGUCACAACCACUCGCUUUUCAAGUUAAAAAAAAUAAUUUUUUGUAGAAUAGCGACCAACUUUGGUCGAUAUUUUCCCUGAUUUCUACAAAAAGUGACCCAACUUGGUUGUUAUUUCAUUAAAAAAAAUUUCUAGUGAUAUAGCGAUCAAAGUUGGUCGCUAUUAUUUAAAAAAUAAAUUGAAUUCAUGUAUUUAGGGACCAAAGUUGGUCGCUAUUUUAAUAAAAUAAAUAAGUAAUUGAAUAAAAAUGCGACCAACAUAGGUCUCUAGUUUUCAUAUUUUAAAAUAUAAUAUUUGGAUUAGAGACCAAAGUUGGUCUCUUUUAAAUGAUUAAUAAUAAAUAAAUAAAUAAAUAACGUAUUUUUUAUUGAGAGACCAACUUUGAUCGCCAAAAUUAUAAUAUUAAAUUAAUAGAGCAACUAAAGUUGGUCUCUAUAAUCAAUAUCCGGAAAAAUGGAUCCACUUAGCUUAGUGACCAAAGUUGGUCGCUAAUUAGCGACCAACUUUGGUCCCUAAAUAAAAGGGACCAUCAAUAUAGCUAUCAGGUGCUUUUGAUCACUUUUUAGCAUUUUUUCGGCCUCUUUUUCCCAAAAUUUUUAUAGUGGCAGAUAAAGGUGGUAAAAAUAUUAAAAAAUCUAUCUCUUUUAAGCACGGUAGAAUCUUAGCUACUCUUGAUAAUUCAUAUGCCAUACAUUUAUUACCUUCCCUUAAUGAACCUCGCAAUCAGGACUCCUUUUGUAAUGUUUGAAGUUGGUAUUAAUAAAUAAAUAUCGUACUAGUUAAAAAAAACCACUAUAGUGAAGUCAUUUCCCAAUAUGAUCAGUAGAAGCACGUAAAGGGACUGCAGUUUCUUUCUUUUGAGGAAUUAUGAUUAUUCUUUUCAGGGAUUAUGGAAAGUGAUAUAAACCCACUUACCGACAAAAGUUGAGUGCGUCGUCCUUGCAAAUAAUACCUUGCUGUGAUAUCUUCAUUUGUGUUUCGACCUAACUGUCCCAAUAGAUACAAGGAAACAACUUAAGGGAGGAUAGAGAGAUACAAGUAUUGAUAAAUUUAUUUCUAUAAAGAAAGAAGUGGACCCGAGUUUAGGACAACUCAGGUUAAACUAUUAAUUUUCUAAUAAGUUCAUUUGGAUAAAAAGUUAGGGGAAGACGAAAGAGAAAUAGUAUACAUAUAUAUAUACACACAUACAUGAUGAUGGAAAAUAAAGGUAAAAGAACAAUAUUGCAGAGAAAAAAGAGAGAAAAUUUUUAUUGAAUUUUUGGAUGAUUUACAAUAGGGUAAGACCCCUCUAUUUAUAGGGAAAAAUGACUUAACCACAAAGUAAAACUCUCUACAAGAUAGACAUUCAUUCAUUCUAAAUAGAAUUCUAUUCAUAACACUUCCCCUUGAAUAUCUAUUUGAUAAGUAAUGUACCUCGUUAAAACCUUACUAAAAUAAAACGCAAUGGAAAAAAUAUUCUAGAAAAGGAGAAAGAGUACACAUGUUAAUAAUACGCCUUUUGGUUGCCUCAUUAAAAACCUUGCAAGAAAAAUCUAGUGGGACAAAACCUUAUAAGGAUAAAAGAGUGCAACGUGCAUUAACCCCCCCUGAUGAGAGCAUCAAUUCACAUCCUUGAGCAUUCACAUCCUGAUCUUGUACACUAACUUCUUGAAGGUUGACGUCGGUAGAGACUCGGUGAACAAACGGCCAUACUAUCACUUGAACGAAUUUGUUGCACAUUAAUAUCACCAUUCUUUUGAAGAUCAUGUGUGAAAAAUAACAUUGGUGAAAUGUGCUUUGUAUUAUCUCCUUUUAUGAAUCCUCCCUUCAAUUGAGCUAUGCAUGCUGCAUUAUCUUCAUAAAAAAUUGUGGGCAGUUUGUCACACUUCAAACCACAUUUGUCUCGAAUGAGACGUAUUUUAGACCUCAACCACACAUAUUCUUGACAUGCUUCAUGAAUAGCAAUUAUCUCGGCAUGAUUGAUGAAGUGGCCUCAAUUGAUUGCUUAGCCGAUCGCCAAGAUAUGCCAGUGCGUCCACAGGUAAACAAUGAGAUCGAGCCUUGUGCGGAUUGAAUAAAUACCCAACACUGGCAUAACUAACAAGAUUAGGACUGCAAUUAUUGCUAUAAAAUCCCAUAUCAGUAGUUCCUUUUAGAUAUCGUAAUAUGUGUUUAAUUCUAUUCCAAUAUCUCCUUGUAGGAGCACAACUAUAUCUUGCUAAGACAUUAAUUGAAAAGGUUAUGUCAGGCCUUGUAGUAUUAGCAAGAUACAUUAGUGCACCAAUUGCACUAAGAUAUGGUACUUCAGGACAAGUAGUUCUUCAUUCUUUUCUUGAGGUCGGAGUGGAUUCUUAUUCACAUCAAAUGAUCGAACAACCAUCAGAGUACUUAAUGGAUGCGCUCCAUCCAUGUAAAACCAUUUCAAUACCCUUUCUAUAUAGGAAGAUUGAUGAACAAAAUUUCCGUUUGCCAAAUGUUAAAUUUUUAAACCAAGACAUAAUUUUGUCUUUCCGAGAUAUUUCAUCUCGAAUUCCUUCUUCAAAUAAUCAAUUGACUUUUAGAGUUCUAUAGGAGUUCCAAUAAGGUUUAUGUCAUCAACAUAUACGGUAAGUACAACAAAUUCCAAUGUUAUUAUCUUUAUAAAAAUACAUGGGCAAAUGACAUUAUUUAUAUAACAUUCCUUUAAUAAAUACCCACUAAAAUGAUUAUACCACAUUCGUUCUGAUUGCUUUAGACCAUACAAAGAUCUUUGCAAUUUUAUUGAAAAUAUUUCCUGGGACUUUGAAUUAUGUGUAUUUUGGCAUUUUAAAUCCAUCGCAAAUUUUUAUGUAUAUCCCAUUAUCAAGUGAGCUAUAAAGUAGGCGGUAACCACAUCCAUUAAAUGCAUAUCAAGCUUUCCAUGAAUAACAAAACUAAUAAGAUAACGGAACGUUAUAGCAUCCAUAAUGGGUGAAUAUGUCUCUUCAUAAUCGACAUCAGACCUUUGUGAAAAUCCUUGUGCAAGACGCCGUGCCUUAUAUCUUUGUACCUAAUUUUUCUCAUUUCUCUGGCGUACAAAGACCCAUUUAUAGCCAACAGGCUUAACAGCAUUAGGUGUUUGGACUACAGGCCUAAAAACUUCACGUUUUGCAAGUGAAUUCAACUCUGAUUGGACUGCUUCUUGCCAUUUUUGUCAAUCACGUCUUUGUCGAUAUUCUCCAACAAAUUGGGGUUCAAGAUCAUCACUAUCUUGCACAAUGCUAGAUGCAAAUUAUAUGAAAAGAUAUAAUCUACCACUAUAUCUACCAAUUCAAAUUUUCCACAACAUCGAUUGGAUUUAUUAGUAGUUCCUUAUUUUCUUGAGUCUCGGGCUCAGUGGAUUCCUCAUGAAUCUCGAAAUUUUUAAGUCAUGUAUUUAUUCAUGAGAUUCUUUUGUAGUGUGAUGUUAAUCAUUUGUUUUUCUUUUUCUAGGAUUUUGAUCUUUGGAACCUACUAGUCUGCCACAUUUUAGGCGAGCUUUUGACUCAUUAGCUAUGACACUAGACAAUUGCCAAACAACGACUCAAUACGGAUUGAAACAUUCUCUGCAGGGAUAUGUGAUUUUUUUAUUCUUUUAAAAUUUGUAAAUGCUUCUGACAUUUGAUUUGCUAUUCUUUGCAAAUGGAUAAUCUUUUGUACCUUUUUUCACAAAUAGAGGCACGUAGAUCAAGAUGAGAUAAUGAUGGAUUACAAAAUUUUUCGUUUGGUUUCACCAAUUUUCCUCCUAAUUUUGGAAGAAGUGUCUCAUCGAAUCGACAAUCUAAAAAUUUUGCAUUAAAUAAAUUCCCAGCGAAUAAUGGAGGACGAUUGAAACCCAACAUAUAUUUCUAACCUUCUUUGCAGACUCAUUUUGUGUGAUAUGGCGGUGCUCUAAGAACAUACACUGCGCAUCCAAAAAUUCUUAAAUAGGAUAUAUUAUGAUCAUGAUGGGGAAUAAUUAUGAUAAUAUGAUGACCCGGUCCGUCGUCACGUGAGUUACUGCGCCGUUUCCCUCAUAUUAUGCAGAUCUAUGUUUCAAUAUCAAUAUUUGAGCUGAUCGGGUAAAAUUGGAUUGGUAUAGAUAGAAAUAGGACACUAAGUCUCUUAAAGGGGAGCUUGUUUUGGAAAAGUUAACUGGAAGUUGACUAUUUAGUUAAAGGGAUAGGAUGUGAGUUCUGAUGAUUUAGUUAGCUUUGGGGUAUGAAUUAUGACUUAGGAGUGCGAUCGGAAUUGAAUUUGAAAGUCUGGCGUAGAAUUAGGAUUGAAUUGGCUAAGUUUUAAUUUUGGCAAAUUCUGGUUGAUGGGUGAGAUUUUUUAUCCGAGGGUCUGAAUGGAAUUUUGGGAGUUGCAAUAACUCCGUUAGGUAAUUUUGGAUAUGUUUGAAAGUUUUCAGGUCAUCCGGACAUCGUUUGUUCGGGUUUUUUAUUGAAUGUGCAUUUCGAAAGAUUUGAAAAAAGCUUAGGCUUGAAUCUGAUGAGAAUUGAUGAUUUUAGUGUUGUUUGAUGUGUUUUGAUGAUUGGAACAAGUUUGGGUAAUGUUUUAAGACAUGUUGGUGCUUUUGAUUGAGGUCCUGGGGGCCUCGUGGUGAGCUCGGGUGGUUAAACGGAGAGUUUUGGAAUUUGCAAGGAUAUGAGUUGUUGAUAUCUGGAAUUUUCACACCUGCGGUCUGCAGUCACGCUUAAGCUAUGGUUGUGCCGCAUAUGCGAAGACUUGGGAAUUUGUUUGUUUCCGCAAAAGCAGUUAGUGGAUCGCAUCUGUGAAGCCGCAGAUGCGGGAAUAAUGACGCAAAAGAGGAACUUGGUUAUUUUGGUUUUUCGUAGAAGCGGAGUCGUAGGAGCGCCUCCUGGACUGCAAAUGCGGUCGUGGUUUUUUAAUAAAAAUCCGUAGAAGUCGGAAUUCUGAUUGCAAAAGCGGUAUCGCACAUGUGGAAUAGUGGGUCGCAGAUGCAGAAUUCCCUGUUUGUCAGAAUGGUUUUUUAGGUUUAAUUGAUGUCGCGAGUGUUAGCCCAUUUCCUCCAUUUUUAAGCAUCUUGAGAGCUUCUUGGGAGCAAUUGAAGAGGAUUUCGGCUGGAGUUUAUUGGAGGUAAGAUUCUUGAGGUAAAAACAUGAUUAUAUUGCGAAACUGGUCUAGAAAUUCAUGGAAAUUUAGCCUAAAAUUCAUGAACUAGGGCUUGAGUUUUUGACAAUUUAAAUUGAGAUUUGAUAGGUAAUUUGAGCUUGGAUUUGGGAGUUCUUGGUAUGUAUGAACUGGUGGCGAGACGAGGAAUCCGGCAAUGUGAGUUUUGUAAUUUUUCGAGAAGCGGGCUCGGGGCUCGGGUUUUGCUAGUUUCGAGAUUAUUGCUAUUUCUCAAUUGUUUUCGAUUGGGUAUUGUCCCCUUAGCAUAUUGUGAUGUAUUCGCUCUAAUUUUUGUUAGAUUCGACGCGCGUGGAGACCGAUUUGAGGGGCAAAGGCGUCGCGGGCUAGAGAUUUCACCGGUUCGAGGUGAGUAAUACUUGUAAAUGAUAUCUUGAGGGUUUGAAACCCCCGAUUCGCACAUCAUAGUGAUGUAUAGUGGUUACUUGCACGCUAGGUAUGAGUGCGGGGUAGAGCACCUUUGGGGAUUGUGACUUGGUCCGUCAUGGUUGUUGAUUUUUCUGCGUGAUUGACUGAAACCAACUUGGUGCUAUCAUGAUUUGGGCUGAUUGCCAUGUCUUGGGCUUCGUGUCGAUUAGUUGAAUACUUCAGGGAUUGAUAUCACUAUUUUUGCAUUACUCCGCAUAUUAUUUAAUCUUGGUCCAAAGUUGUAAAUACUAUUUUGCAAACUCAGCUAUUUUUCUAAUAUUUGAAAACCUAAAUGAUAUUUUAGUGAUGUUUUGAGCUGAGGACUGCUAUGUUGAUAUUGCCCAAGUGGCUUAUGGGCAUUUCUGGACUGUGCAUGGAUCGGGCGCACAUCGCAACGGUGUGAUAUUGAUAUUGCGCUUGGGCUGUAGGAGCCUCUCCGGAGUCUGAACCCCCACAAUGAGCGCGGGUAACCAAAUGGAUCGGGUUGUACGCCGCAACUGUCAUGUGCUUUGCAUUGCAUUCACGCAUUGACUCCUAUUUGUACUACGUGGCAUAACAUUUAGCACUCUCAUAUUAUUGGCAUCCAUGCUAUUUCAUGCACUGUGUACCAGAUACCCUGGUGUUAUUUGUUAAUAGAGUGUUGUGCCCGAGUAGCUGACUUGUGUGCGAACUUGUACUACCUAAUAUCACAUUCAUAUGCUUAACUAUUAAAAGGAAAAGCAAAUGAUAUUUUCAAAAGAGGUUUUAAACUGAGCCAGAUAUUUUAUAAAGGAUUUUCAUGAAGUGUUCUUACAUGAUUUCUUAUCGCUCAAUUAUUAUUUACUCUUAUUACCACUGAGUUAGAAGUACUCACUUUACUCCCAGCACCUCGCAUGCAGUUGCAUGUAUUGUUCACCCGGUAGCGGGUUAUUAGCGAACUGAAGGUAUACUAUUGUAGCUGAGAAAGGUGGCCGCUAGCGUUCGCGGCACCAGACUUCAUCUUUUUCUUCUAAAUCUUAUUUUGUAUAUAAUAUUGGCCAUGUAGUGGUGUUCAGUUUUCUUAAGAUGCUCGUCACUUGUGACACCCAGUCGGGUUGAGUUGGAUUGUAGUUGACGGUUUUUAACACCAUUAAGUUGUAUAUUCCAUUCAUUUAUGUUUACGGCACCGGACUUCAUCUUUUUCUUCUAAAGCUUAUUUUGUAUAUAAAAGUGGCCCUGUAGUGGCGUUCAGUUUUUCUUAGAUGUUCGUUGCUUGUGAUACCACGAUCGGGUUGAGUUGGGUUGUAGUUGAUGGGUUUUAUUGCCAUUAAAUUGUAUAUUCUAUUCAUUUAUGUUUAUUAAUUGUUAGAAAGACAAUGUGAUUUAGUUGGCUGGCCUUGUUUUCACGAGGGGCGCCAUCACGAUUGAGUUUGGGAAUUACGUCGUGACAUAUUGGUAUCAGAGCCUAGGUUACUAAGUAUCACGAGUUAUGAGCAGGUUAGUAGAGUCUCGCGGAUCGAUAUGGAGUCGUCUGUAUUUAUCCUCGAGAGGCUGCAGAUUCUUUAGGAAAAACUUCAUAUUCUUGAAUUCUUAUCGUGCGUCCUUGAUUCAACUUGAAAAGAAAACUCUUGAAAUUUCCUUCCUGACGUCUGUAUGUGCGCAUGAGCGCAUAGUAUUAUAUGUGCUUUGGUGGCUUGCGAUUCCUCGAUCAAGGGGCGAGAUGGUGUUAUGAACUUAUAUAUUCAGUAUUGUCCUUAGUGGUGGAAAUGGCGCUGGUUAGGUGCAUGAUGAGAAUGUCAGUGUUGUGCGAUGAGUCCAUUGGACUUGAGAGUGUUGAAGAAGGUCUGCUAGGUGAUAGAUGAAUCAUUAAGUGAUUGAUUUCCAUUGUGAUUGGAUAUGUCACCACGAGCUAUGGUUGCAUGAAGAAUAUUUUCAGAUCUCCACUUGGGAGUGAAGUAAAUAGCAUAUUACGGCAUGAGUUUCGACUCAAAAGACUAAAUUGACUGCAUAGCGUAUAUAACGGUGGAAGGUGUGAUGAAAUACUAAACUGAGGAGAAGCAGGUGGGUUAUCCCUAGUAUUCUUAAGGGGUACGACUCUUAUGUAUAUUGUUAGAAGAUAUCGUGUGUAAUUGAAAGGUUGUAAUUUGCAAAUUUGGGUCACUUCAGAGAGUGGACUCCGCUGAUGUGGGACAGAAUGCGAGGUUAGUAGAGGAUUUCAGUAGCCGAGGGUCUGUGUUUUCAUAAACUAGUAGAUGAUUUGAGGUUAAUCUCACGAUGGCAUGGUGGUUUCAAUAAAGUAAAGGUAUUAUAAGUUGUUGAGUGUGUCCUGAUAUGUGGCUUCGAGCCAAGUUGGGAAGGUUGUUGUUGAUUAGCUGAUUGCACGGUCACGUGCUAUAUUGGUUCCAUUUCGAGAUAUGCUGGCGGACCAGUUCUGGUUGCAGAAAGUGAGCCGAGGAUGGCACGAGUGAAGCAAAAUUUUGACAAGAGUUAUAUGAUACCGUCACAGCCCUUUUUUAACCAAACUCUCACUAAACCCUCUUAAAUUAAUAAAAAAAUUUAGUAAAAUCUUGAAAAAGGGUUUCCCAAUUUGAAAGUGAAAAAAAUUUAUUUCAAAAUGAAAAUAAUUCAGAGUCGCCAACUAGCAUUGUUUUUUGGUGUGCCAGGUCACCAUUUUUAGAAAAUAUUAUUUUCCUUUUAAAAGCACUUGGACUCAAAACUAAGACGCCAUCAGAGAUAUGGGUACGGGGGUUCAUUUAACUUGGGGAAAGGUGUUAGGCAUUCCCCAAAUCCCGUGAAAGUCACGGUUGCGUACUCGAUCUAGCUGGCUUUUAGAAUAUUCGAUUGGGUAAAACAAACACACAAAAAGGGCUCGAGAUCGUCCCCACUUAAUAAAAGAAAAAAUAAGAGUAAAAUACUACAUUAUGUUUCCUUCACAAAUGCGUCAAGGCCUCCAAAAUAUUUACAAAGUACUUCGGGGCAUACGUAGCCAGGGAGAACCAUAGAAUUGGAAGGUUAUAUUAGAACAUCGGUGGAAAGGUCGAGAGGGCACCUAAAAAUAGCUUUAGAAGCCAGAUUAGGAAAGUGUUUCCCGAGUUCGAGCAAAUGCAAUGCGUAUUAGAACAUCGGUGGAAAGGUCGAGAGGGCACCUAAAAAUAGCUUUAGAAGCCAGAUUAGGAAAGUGUUUCCCGAGGGAUGGGAGCCACUCCUUUUCCAAGUUUGCCUAGGAGCUCCUGUCUUAAAAGACGAAUACGAAUUAGUAGGGCUGCCCCCAGUAGCUCUUUUUGAAUGGACAUCUGAGAUAUAUAUACAAAUUCUUCGGAACAUUCCCCGAAUAAAUUUAACUAUCGGGAACGACCUCUCGCCUCAAAAUUAAUAAAACUCCUACCGUUUGCCUACCGUAAAUCAAGUCACAAAAAAAUCACUAAUUAAUUAUAUGAGUUCAUCAAUUUACUUUCACCUAAUGUAACUUCUACGCAAAUGAAUUUUAGUCGCGAGCAAAUACCUACUAGUUUCAAAUCCGUGCCAAAUUCCUAAAGCAUGUGGACAGUAAAACCAUGACUCCAUUUCAAGGGGAAAAUAACCUUUAAUUUUCAUUUUUGUUCUAGCAAUACAGAAGAUAGAAUUCCAACAGGCAACUUAACCCAUCUACAUUUCAUAUUAUGCACCUAGUUUCAUGUUUUCUUAGAAAUUUAAAAAAAAAAUCCAAACAAGCAAAGCAUCCAAACUUGUUGACGAGGAAUCUAAAUUCUAUUUCUUUAGGACUUAACACGAAGAGAACAAUUUGAUAAGCAUCAAGAAUAAUAGAGAAGAAACUGAACCUGAAAGAGCUUCCUUUAAUAUUAGAUAAGAUGAUCCGAAAAAGUACAAGCAGAUCCGAUUGUGCUAAUUUCAGCAGCGAGCCAAUUCAAAUAGCAAAAUGAACCGCUACCCCGACUGGAACCACGAACGGCAACCUCGGCUCUCGAAAAACUUCGCUCAACCAAACUCCAUAGUUGAGAGCCAAAAUCAAGGAGAAAGAAGCUGGAAUGUUUGUGUUUUGUUUUUCCAAGUUAACAGCAGCGAAAAUUUCCUAGGAUUAGCAGCUCUCCGUUACCACCACAAACUUUCCGGCGUCGACUUGCAAGGUGAAAACGGCAACAGACGGUUACCAAGGUGGCGACAGACGUGAAGGAGGUCUAGCUCGUUUUGGUUGAAGAUGGGAGGCAGUUGGCGGCGCUAGUAUGUAGGUCGUUGGAGAAGGGCUGGAGUUGCGACGACUUGGAUGUGUGUGUGAGUGGUGAGGAGCGGCGGCGACGCUGGUUUUUUCGGCGAGCUUGGUCAUUUUUUGUGAAUGACGGCGGCUGCUGGAGGAGUUAAUGGCGAUGGUUGAGUUCUGUUCCGAUGUUUACUGCUGUUGGUUCGGCGGUUGGCUGAUGCCGGAUUUCGGGCGGGUUUGAGCUGGAGGCGGCGGCUGUGGGAAUUUGGGACUAGGGUUUUUUUUAUAUUGUGUCUUGUUCUUCGAAGUUCAAGCAGAAGGAGCAGUGGCUAUGGAGGUUAAAGAGUUUCCGGCGAGUUGUGAGCGUGGAGGAGGCGGCGGCAGCAGUAAACUAGGGUUCAACUAGUCUUGUUGUUGUGUAAGGUUUUUUUUUUUUUUUUGAGAAGAAGUGAAGGCUAGGAUUUUUGUUGUAUCUUGUUCGAAGAAGUGAGCUCAAAGUUGGGCUUUUGGUGAUGGGUUUAAAAUUGGAAUU